GGUGGUAGUCAGAGUUAGUCAGGUUAUCAGUGAUGGUGUUAUAGUGAAGGUUAGGACAGUGACCAACCUCAAGGUCACUAAAGUUCAAUUGAACUUCAGUAGUCGUACGGAAGAGAUAUGUUGCUCCUCCUCCUGCCGCCCCUCCGGCUUUACCGCUUCCUCUUCCUUUUAAUGCACCUAAAUAACGUGUGGUAACUGAGGAUUGCUGUGCCAGGCUGUCUGCUGCAACAGUCAUCAACACAGCAACUUUGACCAGUUUGAGGGGUGGAGACAACCACACCAGUAAAUGGUCUGACCCAUAACAUUUAGUGUUAUAUGGAGAUGCAGCAGUUGGAGACGUCGUUAGAGGUGGGCAGGGCCCACUUGUAAGGUUGAUGGAACUGGAUGAGCUGGAGGUGUUGAUGGUAUGGUGGAUGGCAGAGGAGUGACUAGUGGCGCCACUAUUCUUGACCUCUAUGGCUAAAUGGCGCCAUUGACCUGGAGGAAGGGGGUGAUGACGUCAGCGGUUGUU